rnacentral:rRNA from 1 species
GACGAACGCUGGCGGCGUGCCUAAUACAUGCAAGUCGAGCGGACGGAUGGGAGCUUUCUGCCAUACUGUCAGCGGCGGACGGGGGAUUAACACGGGGUCAACUUCCCUGUAAUACUGGGAUAACUCCGGGAAACCGGGCCAAAUCCCGGAAAACUCUUUCCCUCACAGGAGGGAAAGCGGAAAUUUGGCAUCUCGCUAUUACUUACAGAGCGGCCCGCGUUGCAUUAGGGAGUGUGGGGGGUAACGGCUCUCCAGGGUGACGAUGCGUAGCCGACCUGAGAGAGUGGUCGGCCACACUGGGACUGAGACGCGGCCCAGGCUCCUGCGGGAGGCAGCAGUAGGCAAUGUUCCGCAGUGGACGGAAGUCUGGCAGAACAGCGCCACGCGUGAGGUGGAAGUGUUCGGAUCGUAAAGCUCUGUUGUCAGGGAAGAACAGGUACCGGAGUAACUGACGGUACCUUGACGGUAACUGGUCAGAAAGCCACGGCUAACUACGUG